rnacentral:rRNA from 1 species
UGGGGAAUAUUGCACAAUGGGCGCAAGCCUGAUGCAGCCAUGCCGCGUGUGUGAAGAAGGCCUUCGGGUUGUAAAGCACUUUCAGCGAGGAGGAAGGGUUCAGUGUUAAUAGCACUGUUCAUUGACGUUACUCGCAGAAGAAGCACCGGCUAACUCCGUGCCAGCAGCCGCGGUAAUACGGAGGGUGCAAGCGUUAAUCGGAAUUACUGGGCGUAAAGCGCACGCAGGCGGUUUGUUAAGUCAGAUGUGAAAUCCCCGCGCUUAACGUGGGAACUGCAUUUGAAACUGGCAAGCUAGAGUCUUGUAGAGGGGGGUAGAAUUCCAGGUGUAGCGGUGAAAUGCGUAGAGAUCUGGAGGAAUACCGGUGGCGAAGGCGGCCCCCUGGACAAAGACUGACGCUCAGGUGCGAAAGCGUGGGGAGCAAACAGGGUUAGAUACCCUGGUAGUCCACGCUGUAAACGAUGUCGACUUGGAGGUUGUGCCCUUGAGGCGUGGCUUCCGGAGCUAACGCGUUAAGUCGACCGCCUGGGGGAGUACGGCCGCAAGGUUAAAAC